rfam:Schistosoma mansoni strain Puerto Rico chromosome 6, complete genome
ACCUUGCUGAUGAGUGCCAAGUAGCACGAAACCCGGUUCCAGGGU